rnacentral:rRNA from 1 species
CGCCGAUGGUACUGCGUAAAAGUGGGAGAGUAGGUCGCCGCCGACC